GAUCUCAUCACAGCAAUCAAAUUAAUUCUCAAUAAUGAAAACCUCCUGAGAUCUG
rfam:Polysphondylium pallidum PN500 unplaced genomic scaffold PPL_contig15, whole genome shotgun sequence.